rnacentral:lncRNA from 1 species
AAAUUUCGUGCAGUUCUGGGCCGCGAGUGGAGGCCGCCGCCGCCGUGGGUGGCCGGAAUCCUGCCGGCGUUACUGUUCAUGGCCGGAUUGUCUUGAGGAAGAAGACGAUCCCAUGGCCGUUAGAUCGCUUUGACUUUGUCUUUUGAUCCAAAGGCCCACAUAUUUUCUGAUUUUUCGUUUUUAUUUUUUUUAUUUAGUCACUUAAGUGACUUGUGUGAC